GGUUAAGCGACUAAGCGUACACGGUGGAUGCCCUGGCAGUCAGAGGCGAUGAAGGACGUGCUAAUCUGCGAUAAGCGUCGGUAAGGUGAUAUGAACCGUUAUAACCGGCGAUUUCCGAAUGGGGAAACCCAGUGUGAUUCGUCACACUAUCAUUAACUGAAUCCAUAGGUUAAUGAGGCGAACCGGGGGAACUGAAACAUCUAAGUACCCCGAGGAAAAGAAAUCAACCGAGAUUCCCCCAGUAGCGGCGAGCGAACGGGGAGCAGCCCAGAGCCUGAAUCAGUGUGUGUGUUAGUGGAAGCGUCUGGAAAGGCGUGCGAUACAGGGUGACAGCCCCGUACACAAAAAUGCACAUAUUGUGAGCUCGAUGAGUAGGGCGGGACACGUGGUAUCCUGUCUGAAUAUGGGGGGACCAUCCUCCAAGGCUAAAUACUCCUGACUGACCGAUAGUGAACCAGUACCGUGAGGGAAAGGCGAAAAGAACCCCGGCGAGGGGAGUGAAAAAGAACCUGAAACCGUGUACGUACAAGCAGUGGGAGCACGCUUAGGCGUGUGACUGCGUACCUUUUGUAUAAUGGGUCAGCGACUUAUAUUCUGUAGCAAGGUUAACCGAAUAGGGGAGCCGAAGGGAAACCGAGUCUUAACUGGGCGUUAAGUUGCAGGGUAUAGACCCGAAACCCGGUGAUCUAGCCAUGGGCAGGUUGAAGGUUGGGUAACACUAACUGGAGGACCGAACCGACUAAUGUUGAAAAAUUAGCGGAUGACUUGUGGCUGGGGGUGAAAGGCCAAUCAAACCGGGAGAUAGCUGGUUCUCCCCGAAAGCUAUUUAGGUAGCGCCUCGUGAAUUCAUCUCCGGGGGUAGAGCACUGUUUCGGCAAGGGGGUCAUCCCGACUUACCAACCCGAUGCAAACUGCGAAUACCGGAGAAUGUUAUCACGGGAGACACACGGCGGGUGCUAACGUCCGUCGUGAAGAGGGAAACAACCCAGACCGCCAGCUAAGGUCCCAAAGUCAUGGUUAAGUGGGAAACGAUGUGGGAAGGCCCAGACAGCCAGGAUGUUGGCUUAGAAGCAGCCAUCAUUUAAAGAAAGCGUAAUAGCUCACUGGUCGAGUCGGCCUGCGCGGAAGAUGUAACGGGGCUAAACCAUGCACCGAAGCUGCGGCAGCGACGCUGAUGCGUUGUUGGGUAGGGGAGCGUUCUGUAAGCCUGUGAAGGUGUACUGUGAGGUAUGCUGGAGGUAUCAGAAGUGCGAAUGCUGACAUAAGUAACGAUAAAGCGGGUGAAAAGCCCGCUCGCCGGAAGACCAAGGGUUCCUGUCCAACGUUAAUCGGGGCAGGGUGAGUCGACCCCUAAGGCGAGGCCGAAAGGCGUAGUCGAUGGGAAACAGGUUAAUAUUCCUGUACUUGGUGUUACUGCGAAGGGGGACGGAGAAGGCUAUGUUGGCCGGGCGACGGUUGUCCCGGUUUAAGCGUGUAGGCUGGUUUUCCAGGCAAAUCCGGAAAAUCAAGGCUGAGGCGUGAUGACGAGGCACUACGGUGCUGAAGCAACAAAUGCCCUGCUUCCAGGAAAAGCCUCUAAGCAUCAGGUAACAUCAAAUCGUACCCCAAACCGACACAGGUGGUCAGGUAGAGAAUACCAAGGCGCUUGAGAGAACUCGGGUGAAGGAACUAGGCAAAAUGGUGCCGUAACUUCGGGAGAAGGCACGCUGAUAUGUAGGUGAAGUCCCUCGCGGAUGGAGCUGAAAUCAGUCGAAGAUACCAGCUGGCUGCAACUGUUUAUUAAAAACACAGCACUGUGCAAACACGAAAGUGGACGUAUACGGUGUGACGCCUGCCCGGUGCCGGAAGGUUAAUUGAUGGGGUUAGCGCAAGCGAAGCUCUUGAUCGAAGCCCCGGUAAACGGCGGCCGUAACUAUAACGGUCCUAAGGUAGCGAAAUUCCUUGUCGGGUAAGUUCCGACCUGCACGAAUGGCGUAAUGAUGGCCAGGCUGUCUCCACCCGAGACUCAGUGAAAUUGAACUCGCUGUGAAGAUGCAGUGUACCCGCGGCAAGACGGAAAGACCCCGUGAACCUUUACUAUAGCUUGACACUGAACAUUGAGCCUUGAUGUGUAGGAUAGGUGGGAGGCUUGGAAGUGUGGACGCCAGUCUGCAUGGAGCCGACCUUGAAAUACCACCCUUUAAUGUUUGAUGUUCUAACGUUGACCCGUGAUCCGGGUUGCGGACAGUGUCUGGUGGGUAGUUUGACUGGGGCGGUCUCCUCCUAAAGAGUAACGGAGGAGCACGAAGGUUGGCUAAUCCUGGUCGGACAUCAGGAGGUUAGUGCAAUGGCAUAAGCCAGCUUGACUGCGAGCGUGACGGCGCGAGCAGGUGCGAAAGCAGGUCAUAGUGAUCCGGUGGUUCUGAAUGGAAGGGCCAUCGCUCAACGGAUAAAAGGUACUCCGGGGAUAACAGGCUGAUACCGCCCAAGAGUUCAUAUCGACGGCGGUGUUUGGCACCUCGAUGUCGGCUCAUCACAUCCUGGGGCUGAAGUAGGUCCCAAGGGUAUGGCUGUUCGCCAUUUAAAGUGGUACGCGAGCUGGGUUUAGAACGUCGUGAGACAGUUCGGUCCCUAUCUGCCGUGGGCGCUGGAGAACUGAGGGGGCUGCUCCUAGUACGAGAGGACCGGAGUGGACGCAUCACUGGUGUUCGGGUUGUCAUGCCAAUGGCACUGCCCGGUAGCUAAAUGCGGAAGAGAUAAGUGCUGAAAGCAUCUAAGCACGAAACUUGCCCCGAGAUGAGUUCUCCCUGACUCCUUGAGAGUCCUGAAGGAACGUUGAAGACGACGACGUUGAUAGGCCGGGUGUGUAAGCGCAGCGAUGCGUUGAGCUAACCGGUACUAAUGAACCGUGAGGCUUAACCUU
rnacentral:rRNA from 1 species